rnacentral:rRNA from 1 species
UCCGGUGACUAUAGCGGAGGGGAAACACCCGAUCCCAUCCCGAACUCGGAAGUUAAGCCCUCCAGCGCCGAUGGUACUACUCGGGCGACCGUGUGGGAGAGUAGGACGUUGCCGGGA